GAGAGAGAGAUCCAAAUCCUUUAGAAGUAAAGCCCAUGAAAUCACAAAACUGAAGGAAGAAAGAUAAACUGAUGCUCAAAUUCCUUAAGCACUAAUAUCUUCAAUUCAAGGAAAUUUUACCAUGCAAAGCUUUCCAUACAUUAUUAUGAACUACAAGUUUUUGAAAUAUAAGACAAAAUUGGGGUGUCAAAACAUAAAACACAAGGCAGGAGAAAGUAGUUCAUGCAUCAGGCCAUAA
rnacentral:misc_RNA from 1 species